CGGUAUAGAACACCAUGUGCUGAAUCCAAAAUACAUCCACUUCCUUUUUGAUCGUGAAGGUCAGUAUCCCCCCUUGGGAAUCGGCGUGAAUGAUACUGACUACUACUCUGCAUUAUGCAUGUAUGAACACUGCCACCUCCCAACCCUUAACAUAACUAUAAUAGUCUAGGAUAUCUGUAUUAAAUAAAUCCAUAUACUAUUGAAAUUUGUAUAUGCGAGACUGUCAAGUCUUCCCCCUCCAUUUUGGACGUAUACCCUAUACUGGUCACUCACUGACCAUAUAGGUACAUAUUCACAAACCAGAAUGCAAAUGCUCUGUUUUUUGAAAUUAAGUUUGUUGUACAUUUUUCAAGCGCGUAUAGCAUCAUGUUUGACAAUUCUAAAUGUCAGCGUAGAAUUAUCUUACUAAAUACCACUGGAACUCGGACUUCGCAACAUAUUUUUGUGGUAUUUAUUUUCAUUCAUUGCAGCAUACGCAACCAACAUUUGAAUAUAUUAUGCAACUUGGAAAUGCAAGCCAACAAAUUAAGGUAUCUCCUCCUUGAAGAAACCAACGGAGCCCAAUGUCAUAGGAAUGUUGGUUGCUUAUCCUGCAGAGUGUAACUAGUAGGCGAUCAUUGCUUUUGUCAAUGACUAUACAAAACAACAGAAAGUAUGCAUGGUAACGGAUAGGCGUCACGUUUUGACUUCCGAAUACCGAAUUUUGAUUUUCGAUUUUAAUCAAGAUAAAGCUCAAUUUAGUGCGAAUAGACCAAGCAAACAUUGUUGUGCAACAGUUGAACAACAGGUAGGCAACUGUUGGCUAACUUGUUUCCGUGGGGAGAAAACAUUGCCGACAAACUGUUGGUCAACAUCGACCAGCCUGCCAGAGAGAAUCAAGACAAGAGAGAAUGAAUCGCUAUUCCUUAGGAAAACGUUCAUUUUGGCCCACAUUGUCAGCAAUGAUGAGUAAGAAGUGGUGAGAAUAUUGUUCCUGCACAACAUCAAGGCAGUGCCUUUUGCUGCGCCCCAAAAGUGAUCAAAACAGAAAGCGCACAAAAUUUAUCCUUUACACAAAAGCAAUGUUUUUUUGUAAAUAAAUUCAAAUUUUGUUGGGUAAUAAUAAUAGCACAUUAUUAUCAUUUGAAUAAAAA